rnacentral:misc_RNA from 1 species
UCCGGUUUGUCACCGGCGGUCUCCUUAGAGUUCCCAACUUAAUGAUGGCAACUAAGGACAAGGGUUGCGCUCGUUGCGGGACUUAACCCAACAUCUCACGACACGAGCUGACGACAGCCAUGCAGCACCUGUCUCCAGGUUCCCGAAGGCACCCCCGCAUCUCUGCAGGGUUCCUGGGAUGUCAAGACCUGGUAAGGUUCUUCGCGUUGCUUCUAAUUAAACCACAUGCUCCACCGCUUGUGCGGGUCCCCGUCAAUUCCUUUGAGUUUUAGCCUUGCGGCCGUACUCCCCAGGCGGGGUACUUAAUGCGUUAGCUGCGGCACGGAGUCCGUUGAAAGACCCCACACCUAGUACCCAACGUUUACGGCGUGGACUAC